rnacentral:rRNA from 1 species
GAUGAACGCUGGCGGCGUGCCUAAUACAUGCAAGUCGAGCGCGACUGAUCUGCUCGUUUCUUCGUACCCCCGUGGUCAUCGGGCGACUGACGGGUGAGUAACCCGUGCUUGACCUUCCCUUAACACUGGGAUACCCGCGCUAAUCCCUGACUAAUACUCCAGCAUGCUUUUGUACGGCUGUAUAGAUUCUGAGGGGGGGAUUUCUCUCACUUCUUGAUGGCUCGGCGGCGCAUUAGCUGGUUGGCAAGGUUUCGGCUUACCACCGCCACGAUGCGUAGCCCACCUGAGUUGGUGAUCAGACACACUGCAAAUGACACCCGGACCCGACUCCUACGGGAAGUGCCCGUAGGGAAUCUUCCUCAUUGGGCGACACCCUGAGCGAGCUGCCCCGCCUGUGCUAGUAAGGUCUUCUCAUCUGAGAGCACUGUUGUUUGAGAAUAACGACUGUAAAAGUACCUGUUUACUGUGUGACGGCACUUAACCAGAUAGCCACGGCUAACUACGUGCCACCGAUCCGCUGUAAUACGUAGGUGGCAAGCGUUAUCCAUACUUAUUGAGCGUAAAGCGCGCGUAGGCGGCGAGAUUAGUCUGAUGUGAAAGCCCCCGGCUCAGCCGGGGAAGGUCAUUGGAAACUGUUUCGCUUGAGUGCAGAAGAGGAGAGUGGAAUUCCAUGUGUAGCGGUGAAAUGCGCAGAGAUAUGGAGGAACACCAGUGGCGAAGGCGGCUCUCUGGUCUGCAACUGACGCUGAUGUGCGAAAGCGUGGGGAUCAAACAGGAUUAGAUACCCUGGUAGUCCACGCCGUAAACGAUGAGUGCUAAGUGUUAGGGGGUUUCCGCCCCUUAGUGCUGCAGCAAACGCAUUAAGCACUCCGCCUGGGGAGUACGGCCGCAAGGCUGAAACUCAAAGGAAUUGACGGGGACCCGCACAAGCGGUGGAGCAUGUGGUUUAAUUCGAAGCAACGCGAAGAACCUUACCAAAUCUUGACAUCCUCUGACCGUCAUGGAGACAUGAUUUUCCUUUUGGGACAGAGAGACAGGUGGUGCAUGGUUGUCGUCAGCUCGUGUCGUGAGAUGUUGGGUUAAGUCCCGCAACGAGCGCAACCCUUAACUUUAGUUGCCAUCAUUCGGUUGGGCACUCUAGAGUGACUGCCGGUGACAAACCGGAGGAAGGUGGGGAUGACGUCAAAUCAUCAUGCCCCUUAUGAUUUGGGCGACACACGUGCUACAAUGGGCAGGAACAAAGGGCAGCGAAACUGUGAAGUCAAGCGAAUCCCAUAAAACUGUUCUCAGUUCGGAUUGGAGUCUGCAACUCGACUCCAUGAAGCUGGAACCGCUAGUAAUCGUGGAUCAGAAUGCCACGGUGAAUACGUUCCCGGGUCU